AAGAGAGGAGCUUGCUCUUCUUGGAUGAGUUGCGAACGGGUGAGUAACGCGUAGGUAACCUGCCUUGUAGCGGGGGAUAACUAUUGGAAACGAUAGCUAAUACCGCAUAACAAUGGAUGACACGUGUCAUUUAUUUGAAAGGGGCAAUUGCUCCACUACAAGAUGGACCUGCGUUGUAUUAGCUAGUAGGUGAGGUAACGGCUCACCAAGGCGACGAUACAUAGCCGACCUGAGAGGGUGAUCGGCCACACUGGGACUGAGACACGGCCCAGACUCCUACGGGAGGCAGCAGUAGGGAAUCUUCGGCAAUGGACGGAAGUCUGACCGAGCAACGCCGCGUGAGUGAAGAAGGUUUUCGGAUCGUAAAGCUCUGUUGUAAGAGAAGAACGAGUGUGAGAGUGGAAAGUUCACACUGUGACGGUAUCUUACCAGAAAGGGACGGCUAACUACGUGCCAGCAGCCGCGGUAAUACGUAGGUCCCGAGCGUUAUCCGGAUUUAUUGGGCGUAAAGCGAGCGCAGGCGGUUAGAUAAGUCUGAAGUUAAAGGCUGUGGCUUAACCAUAGUACGCUUUGGAAACUGUUUAACUUGAGUGCAAGAGGGGAGAGUGGAAUUCCAUGUGUAGCGGUGAAAUGCGUAGAUAUAUGGAGGAACA
rnacentral:rRNA from 1 species